AGAGUUUGAUCCUGGCUCAGGACGAACGCUGGCGGCGUGCCUAAUACAUGCAAGUCGAGCGGACAGGUGGGAGCUUGCUCCCUGAUGUUAGCGGCGGACGGGUGAGUAACACGUGGGUAACCUGCCUGUAAGACUGGGAUAACUCCGGGAAACCGGGGCUAAUACCGGAUGGUUGUUUGAACCGCAUGGUUCAAACAUAAAAGGUGGCUUCGGCUACCACUUACAGAUGGACCCGCGGCGCAUUAGCUAGUUGGUGAGGUAACGGCUCACCAAGGCAACGAUGCGUAGCCGACCUGAGAGGGUGAUCGGCCACACUGGGACUGAGACACGGCCCAGACUCCUACGGGAGGCAGCAGUAGGGAAUCUUCCGCAAUGGACGAAAGUCUGACGGAGCAACGCCGCGUGAGUGAUGAAGGUUUUCGGAUCGUAAAGCUCUGUUGUUAGGGAAGAACAAGUACCGUUCGAACAGGGCGGUACCUUGACGGUACCUAACCAGAAAGCCACGGCUAACUACGUGCCAGCAGCCGCGGUAAUACGUAGGUGGCAAGCGUUUUCCGGAAUUAUUGGGCGUAAAGGGCUCGCAGGCGGUUUCUUAAGUCUGAUGUGAAAGCCCCCGGCUCAACCGGGGAGGGUCAUUGGAAACUGGGGAACUUGAGUGCAGAAGAGGAGAGUGGAAUUCCACGUGUAGCGGUGAAAUGCGUAGAGAUGUGGAGGAACACCAGUGGCGAAGGCGACUCUCUGGUCUGUAACUGACGCUGAGGAGCGAAAGCGUGGGGAGCGAACAGGAUUAGAUACCCUGGUAGUCCACGCCGUAAACGAUGAGUGCUAAGUGUUAGGGGGUUUCCGCCCCUUAGUGCUGCAGCUAACGCAUUAAGCACUCCGCCUGGGGAGUACGGUCGCAAGACUGAAACUCAAAGGAAUUGACGGGGGCCCGCACAAGCGGUGGAGCAUGUGGUUUAAUUCAAAGCAACGCGAAGAACCUUACCAGGUCUUGACAUCCUCUGACAAUCCUAGAGAUAGGACGUCCCCUUCGGGGGCAGAGUGACAGGUGGUGCAUGGUUGUCGUCAGCUCGUGUCGUGAGAUGUUGGGUUAAGUCCCGCAACGAGCGCAACCCUUGAUCUUAGUUGCCAGCAUUCAGUUGGGCACUCUAAGGUGACUGCCGGUGACAAACCGGAGGAAGGUGGGGAUGACGUCAAAUCAUCAUGCCCCUUAUGACCUGGGCUACACACGUGCUACAAUGGACAGAACAAAGGGCAGCAAAACCGCGAGGUUAAGCCAAUCCCACAAAUCUGUUCUCAGUUCGGAUCGCAGUCUGCAACUCGACUGCGUGAAGCUGGAAUCGCUAGUAAUCGCGGAUCAGCAUGCCGCGGUGAAUACGUUCCCGGGCCUUGUACACACCGCCCGUCACACCACGAGAGUUUGUAACACCCGAAGUCGGUGAGGUAACCUUUUAGGAGCCAGCCGCCGAAGGUGGGACAGAUGAUUGGGGUGAAGUCGUAACAAGGUAGCCGUAUCGGAAGGUGCGGCUG
rnacentral:rRNA from 1 species